rnacentral:rRNA from 1 species
AAUGAACGCUGGCGGCGCGCCUAAUACAUGCAAGUCGAGCGAGAAGACGUAGCAAUACGUUUGUAAAGCGGCGAACGGGUGAGGAAUACAUGGGUAACCUACCCUAGAGUGGGGAAUAACUAGCCGAAAGGUUAGCUAAUACCGCGUACGCUCCUUGGACUUCGGUUCAGGGAGGAAAGCGAUACCGAGGGUAUCGCGCUCUUGGAUGGGCUCAUGUCCUAUCAGCUUGUUGGUGAGGUAACGGCUCACCAAGGCUUCGACGGGUAGCUGGUCUGAGAGGACGAUCAGCCACACUGGCACUGCGACACGGGCCAGACUCCUACGGAGGCAGCAGUAAGGAAUAUUGCGCAAUGGGCGAAAGCCUGACGCAGCGACGCCG